CCUCAGCUUGCGGUUAUUCUGAGCGGAAAUAAACACAAAUAACAGCCUUGUUUAAUCUCAGCUACUUUACCACGAGCAGCGCGACAGCACAAUACAGUGAGCCGCACACAAGUCGGGUCAGCUAUAUCAGAGAAGGAGGCAGAUAAUGAGGCGGCUAUUGCAAAGGGCCACGCAGUAAUCAGUGAGCAAGACAAAUGUUUAAUUUGGACAUGUAAUUUUCCCUUUUUCUCACCAUGUUUUUGUGUCAAAUCUUUUCAAAUAAAUAAUUCUGAAUUGUCCUGUUUUGAUCAAUUAAAGCACAGACUCCUUUGGGCUCUACUGAAGUAGAUAUGCAGUCAAAAACAAUCCCCAUCUACAGUGCAGUGCAGAAGUAUUUGCCCCUGUCCUGAUUUCUUAAGUCUUAACCACUUUUUGAGUUGUUCAGUUCAGUUCCAGUAACCACACCCAGACCUGAUUACUGCCAGACCUGAUGAAACAAGAACUCACUUAAACAGAACCUGUUGGACAAAGUGAAGUAGACUAAAAGGUCUCAGAAAACCAACACAACAUGCCAUGAUCUAAAGGAACUCAAGAACAACUGAGAAACAAACUGACAUCUAUCAGUCCUGAAAGGGUUAUAAAGCCAUUUAUGAGACUUUGGGACUCCAGUGAACCACAGUAAAAGCCAUUAUCCACAAAUGGAGAGAACCUGGAACAUUGCAGAAUCUUCCCAGGAGUGGUCCACCUGCCAAAGUUACUCCAAAAGCGCAUCAACGACUCAUCCAGGAGGUUACAUAAGAACCCAGAAUAAAAUCUAAAGAACUGCAGGCCUCAGCUGUGUCACUUAAGGUCAGAGUUUGUGAUUCAACAAUAAAAAAAAGACUGGGCAAAAAUGGUAUCCAUGGGCGAGCAAGAAGAAAGCCACUGCUAACCACAAAGAACAUGACAACUGCUCCACAUUUGCCAAAAAACAUGUUGAUGAUCACCAGGACUUGUGGGAAAAUAUUCUGAAGACAAAAGUUGAACUUUUUGGACGGUGUGAGUCCUGUUACAGCUGGUGUAAAACUUACACAGGAGUCUGGUGCUGCUUUGCUGCUUCAGGUUUUGAAGUGACUGAGUCAAAGUCUGGACUUAAAUCAGAUUGAAAUGCUUUGGCAUGAUGUUAAACAGGCUGUUCAUGUUCAAAAAUCCUCCAGUGUGACUGAAUUAAAACAAAUCUGCAAAGAAGAGUGGGCCAAAAUUCCUCCACAGCAAUGUGACAGACUCAUUGCUAGUUAUCACACACGGUUGAUUGCAGUUCUUACUGCUUCAUCCACUCUCUCUCUUUAAGACAACUUUCUUCUGAUUGGCAGCCUCCUUCAAGCAGAAGGUUUCAGCAGCAGAACCAGCCCUGGGCAUAAGCUGGCAGAGCAGCUGCUCUGAGCCCCCCCACACCAACAGGGGGUCCCCAAGAGAACAUGAAAUGUCACUCAAGAAAGAAACAUCGGGAAGACUGAAGUUCAUCGCAGGGAUCAAGCAGGACUCAUGAUCUUCACCAGCAGGUCCUCAGAGGGAAAUCUUCUUCUCCACCAUAAGGCGGUCCCAGAAGAUGGACAGAGGUCUAAAGGUCAUGUGCUUAAGAAAUAGGAAACAAAAUCCAGCAAGGACCUGAGAGAUGUAUUUGGUCAUUCAGGUCAUCCAUCCUACUGUUCACAAACGCCUCAUCAGGAAUUGUCUCAGUGGAAGGGUGGCUGUUAAGAAGCCAUCAUGAAUUACCAUCUGGAAAGAGUCACACAGUGGGACACUAUCAGUCAUAGACUGGUCUUCCCAGAGCCCGGAUCUUAACAUUAUUGAAGCAGUGUGGGAUCUUCUUCACAGAGAACACAACAAAAGGCAGACAACAUCCAAAGAAGGGCCUUUAAUGUUCAUCAAGCCCAGAGAACUAUUCCUAAAGACUACUUAAAGAAAGAAAGCUGCCUAUGAGAGUUCAGGCUGUGCUGAAGAAUAAAGGUGGUCAUGCUAAAUAUUCAGAUUCUUUGGAGUACCGUGAGUCUGAGACCCUGAGACCGAAUUGAAGUCAUGCACUGCAGACAGUUAGAAAAUUAAAUUCUUUUAAAUAAAUUAUGCUGAGGUAUUAAUAGCUAAAAAUG